rnacentral:misc_RNA from 1 species
UCCGAGUUGACCCCGGCAGUCUCCUAUGAGUCCCCGCCAUCACGUGCUGGCAACAUAGGACGAGGGUUGCGCUCGUUGCGGGACUUAACCCAACAUCUCACGACACGAGCUGACGACAGCCAUGCACCACCUGCACACAGACCACAAGGGAAUACCUAUCUCUAGGCACGUCCUGUGCAUGUCAAACCCAGGUAAGGUUCUUCGCGUUGCAUCGAAUUAAACCACAUGCUCCGCUGCUUGUGCGGGGCCCCGUCAAUUCCUUUGAGUUUUAGCCUUGCGGCCGUACUCCCCAGGCGGGGCGCUUAAUGCGUUAGCUGCGGCACGGAACCCGUGGAAUGGAUCCCACACCUAGCGCCCAACGUUUACGGCGUGGACUAC